rnacentral:rRNA from 1 species
CGGCUCCUACGGGAGACAGCAGUGAGGAAUAUUGGUCAAUGGUCGGGAGACUGAACCAGCCAAGCCGCGUGAGGGAGGAAGGUACAGAGUAUCGUAAACCUCUUUUGUCAGGGAACAAAGGCGGGGACGUGUCCCCGGACGAGUGUACCUGAAGAAAAAGCAUCGGCUAACUCCGUGCCAGCAGCCGCGGUAAUACGGAGGAUGCGAGCGUUAUCCGGAUUUAUUGGGUUUAAA